rnacentral:rRNA from 1 species
UACGGAGGGUGCAAGCGUUAUCCGGAUUCACUGGGUUUAAAGGGUGUGUAGGAGGGCAGGUAAGUCAGUGGUGAAAUCUCCAAGCUUAACUUGGAACUGCCGUUGAUACUAUCUGUCUUGAAUACCGUGGAGGUGAGCGGAAUAUGUCAUGUAGCGGUGAAAUGCUUAGAUAUGACAUAGAACACCAAUUGCGAAGGCAGCUCGCUACACGAAUAUUGACUCUGAGGCACGAAAGCGUGGGGAUCAAACAGG